CACGUCUCAGAUAACGCAUUGCAGAUAUCGACGUUACCUCAUCGGCUUGCGGCUUGACUUUUUUUUUCUGACUCUCUCUACAAGCACACACGCACCCACACGCGCAUACGCCCGCCUCUCUCUUCCUCUGUCUUCUCACAUGGCGGCAAUGGCUCCAAAGCCGACGAGCUCGAAUCCCGUCAAGGUCUUCUUCUUCGUGCCAAACAUUAUCGGCUAUGCCCGGAUAGCGGCGUCGAUCAUGGCCUAUCUGGUGGCACGCGACUACCCUGCGCUGUGCCUCGUGCUCUACGCGGCCUCCUUCCUGCUGGACGCGGCCGACGGCAUGGCGGCUCGUGUGUUGGAUCAGUGCUCGAACUUUGGCGCCAUUCUGGACAUGCUCACCGAUCGUGCCUCGACGGCUGGCUUCCUGGUGGUGCUUGACAGCGUACUGCAACCCAUGCCGUACCGCUACACAUGUGUUCUCGCCAUACUUCUCUUCCUCGACGUGGCGUCUCAUUUUUGCCGCAUGUACGCCUCCGUCUUUAUUCGAAAGGAUAGCCACAAGGACGUCUCGGACAGCAUCUUCUGGCUGCUGCGCGUGUACUACAUAAACGGCCGCGUGAUGAGCUUCUUCUGCAUCGGGCAGGAGUUCGCGUACAUUUUCCUGUACGCAUGGGCGAACUACGCGAGUGUCGCGGUGGUGGGCGACCUUCUGUGGUACGCCUUCGCGGUGUGCGUGGUGCCCUGCUUCCUGAAGCAGGUCGUCAAUGUUCAGCAGCUCGUGGAUGGUCUCUACCACAUCGCUUGCGUGGACGCUCAGAAGCGCUGCGCGCAAGGCAAAUACGCCUGAGGACUGCGUCGAAGAUGCCGGUGCGGACGCUCUCCCCUGCUUCUCCAGCUCUCGCUUCCCCGCCGAAAAACGAUGGGGAUCUUGCGUGGGAGAGGUGCGAGGAUGGCGUGUUGGCGAGGGCUGUCGCUCGGCGGUCGCUACUUAUAUAUAUUCGCAUCUCUCACCCUCUGUCUCUCGCUGCGAUGCUGGUGGAAGGGGAGCCCCAACAAGCGGUACUUUCUGCUCCGUGUCGCCGUAGCGGGUCGUGCGGAAGGUGCUGGCGAUGAUGCUGUUAUUAUUGAACUACAAUGUGACUGCGGUGAUAGGUGUCAAGAGAGGGGGAAUAGAUGGGAGCCACAGUGCUAGUGAAGAGGGAGGAUGGGGGAACCGAGGUGACGCAGGGGUGGUGGUGGUGGUGUGGUGGUGCGUUAGUGACCGAAGGAGGGGGAAAGAGGCAAUGACAGCGGCGAUGCUAGAUGGCGCAGAGCACGUUGAUCUGCCAUGUUGGUCGUAGCGAGUCCCGUCCUCGCAGGUGGGGAGCAAUGCGGGAAGGAAGGGGAAGGGGAAGGGGAAGGGCACGCUACUCUCCGAGAGACAGGAAUACACGUCUCGCUUCGUAGCACCGUCUCCUCCAGCCCCCUUCUCCCCUCGCGCCGCCACUCACUCACUGGAGUUGUCGACCUUCUGCGCAGCCUCUCUGUUUCUGACCUCCUCCGCCACGCUCCUCCCUCUUCUUGUGAGCGGGGAAACAGACACGGAGAAGGACGAACCGCGCUGACAAGUGAGCGGCGUAUACUUGUGUGUGUGUGUGUGUGUGUGUGCGUGCAGCGCGCACUUCUUGUUCUCUCGCUCUGCUUCACCCCUUUGCGCACGCUCCUUGUCGAUGUUGUUGUGGCGGUGUACUGGGGGGGGGAGAGUGGCAACGCUCUCAUGCAUGUAACUGCACUCUCCCUCUCUACCCCGCCCUCACUUCCUCGAGGCGCGUAACCGAGUAGGCGCGUCUGCUCAUGGGCGCGCCGUGUCGCUGUUUCUGAGAUGGGGCAACGAGCAUAUCAAACUGAAUGCAAAGAGAGAUGCGCCCUCCUUGUGCGAAGGCGCACCACAAGCUAGAUGCACAUACACACACGCACACAAGUACGCGCCAGACUGCGCAUGCGAGGCCACGUGUGCUUCCUCUCCCCCUCUGUCUGGCCUCUGCUUCGCAUCUCAUCUUCUGCUGCUCGGACGCACCUGAGGGGCCGGUUAGGGAGUAUGGUGUACACGAGAUAGGGGCAGCGUAGGCGAGCAGCACAGUGAGCAUGCUUGCCGUUUCCCAUGCACGGCGGCAGCUGCGCGUACGCUUGUAGCAGGAUGUGGCUGUCCCUGUAACUCAUCGCUGCCUCAGACACUGGUGGAAUCCUUACAAUCGCUACCUUUACGAAACGGCGACAGCACGCGCGAUGGUGUUGCGUCACCGACUACUCUCUCCACGCAUGUGUAUCGACUCGCCAUUCCUUCAAGCUUCGCCUUCCUCUCCCUCUUUCCUGUGACGAGGAUACGUCCACGCACACACGCGUCAACGCGCGUGCAUCACACGAAAAG
rnacentral:misc_RNA from 1 species